CAACGUGAUGUUUACAUCCCCAGGUAUCUAACCAGUAGCCACAUUGCAACACGGAGGACUUCCCAAAAGGCGCUUCUUAUUUUAGGUGGAGAGGGAGUAAGAUCACUAGAAAGGAGCAUGCUGACAGAGCAGGGAGAAAGCUGUUGUUGCACAGCAGAGAACCUAAUUCACCUGGUACGGGUGAAUAUAAGGUGCGCACCUCUUUGCUGGAGCAGACCGGGACCAGUGUUGAAAUGCAACGAGAAGGCCUUUAUGGGAAUUGGGAGGGUCAACGCUUCACCCUUUCCAAAAGCUAAGUACCUCUCCAUAUUCCGUUUCCAACAUUUCACCUGCUAGCACUGCCUGCUGACAUUCUCUACUGCUUUGUGUGCUACGCACAGCCAGUACAGUAGUGCACCUACUGUGAACCAGAGAGGAGGCCUUUUGGGAUACUGGAAAGGUGAAGCACAAUUCAGGUUGAAUUCAUUAUGGAUUAUAGUGACUUUUCUGCCUGAACACUCAUUGCUCACAUUUGAACUAUUUGAGUUACUCGUGUCCCCCCAAUGACAAUGGGAAAACUUUUCUGAAUAGACAUGAUUGGCCUUUAUUGAUACCAGAUAACAUUACUUAAGCCACUGUCUCCUGCCUCCAUUUUUAUUUUCCCAUUCAAGCCUUUUUGAUUUUCCCAUUUAAGUUUGUUUAAAUCUAUUUACUAUUUCCCCAUUACCUUUGAUAUUAUACUCCUUUCCUUAGUUCUAUUGUGGCUUAUUAUGAUUUAAUCAUUUUUGGAGAGGUAUUGUGGAGUUUUAUUGUAAUUGGCCCUAUGACAUUUCAGCAAAAUCUGUUGACAGAAUCUUUCUUUCACUCAGUACAACAGAACCCAGGAGAGGCCUGCUGUGAACACUGGCUUGGAUCCCUCAGAGCGUGCCUGCAGUGGUGUGACCACGGAAGAGUCCUCAAGGACUUUUAAAAUAAGACUUUUCCAUUUGAUCUUUUUGGACUUGUCCACUUGGGACUUUUAGCUAUUGUUAAAUAAAUAAUGUAGAACACCA